rnacentral:rRNA from 1 species
UACGGAGGGGGCUAGCGUUGUUCGGAAUUACUGGGCGUAAAGCGCGCGUAGGCGGACCUGCAAGUCGGGGGUGAAAGCCCGAGGCUCAACCUCGGAACUGCCUUCGAUACUGCGGGUCUCGAGUCCGGGAGAGGUGAGUGGAAUUCCUAGUGUAGAGGUGAAAUUCGUAGAUAUUCGGAAGAACACCAGUGGCGAAGGCGACUGACUGGACAAGUAUUGACGCUGAGGUGCGAAAGCGUGGGGAGCAAACAGG